rnacentral:tRNA from 1 species
GCAUCGUUGGUCCAGUUGGUUCAAGACCGGGGGCGUUGCUGACGCUCCGGACACCGGUUCGAAUCCGGUACGAUGCUCCA